rnacentral:rRNA from 1 species
UGAGUAACACGUAUCCAACCUGCCGUCUACUCUUGGCCAGCCUUCUGAAAGGAAGAUUAAUCCAGGAUGGCAUCAUGAGUUCACAUGUCCGCAUGAUUAAAGGUAUUUUCCGGUAGACGAUGGGGAUGCGUUCCAUUAGAUAGUAUGCGGGGUAACGGCCCACCUAGUCAACGAUGGAUAGGGGUUCUGAGAGGAAGGUCCCCCACAUUGGAACUGAGACACGGUCCAA